rnacentral:rRNA from 1 species
AGAGUUUGAUCCUGGCUCAGGAUGAACGCUAGCUACAGGCUUAACACAUGCAAGUCGAGGGGAAACGAUAUUGGAAGCUUGCUUCCGAUAGGCGUCGACCGGCGCACGGGUGAGUAACGCGUAUCCAACCUGCCCACCACUUGGGGAUAACCUUGCGAAAGUAAGACUAAUACCCAAUGACGUCUCUAGAAGACAUCUGAAGGAGAUUAAAGAUUUAUCGGUGAUGGAUGGGGAUGCGUCUGAUUAGCUUGUUGGCGGGGUAACGGCCCACCAAGGCAACGAUCAGUAGGGGUUCUGAGAGGAAGGUCCCCCACAUUGGAACUGAGACACGGUCCAAACUCCUACGGGAGGCAGCAGUGAGGAAUAUUGGUCAAUGGGCGAGAGCCUGAACCAGCCAAGUAGCGUGCAGGAAGACGGCCCUAUGGGUUGUAAACUGCUUUUAUAAGGGAAUAAAGUUAGUCUCGUGAGACUUUUUGCAUGUACCUUAUGAAUAAGGACCGGCUAAUUCCGUGCCAGCAGCCGCGGUAAUACGGAAGGUCCGGGCGUUAUCCGGAUUUAUUGGGUUUAAAGGGAGCGUAGGCCGGAGAUUAAGCGUGUUGUGAAAUGUAGACGCUCAACGUCUGCACUGCAGCGCGAACUGGUUUCCUUGAGUACGCACAAAGUGGGCGGAAUUCGUGGUGUAGCGGUGAAAUGCUUAGAUAUCACGAAGAACUCCGAUUGCGAAGGCAGCUCACUGGAGCGCAACUGACGCUGAAGCUCGAAAGUGCGGGUAUCGAACAGGAUUAGAUACCCUGGUAGUCCGCACGGUAAACGAUGGAUGCCCGCUGUUGGUCUGAACAGGUCAGCGGCCAAGCGAAAGCAUUAAGCAUCCCACCUGGGGAGUACGCCGGCAACGGUGAAACUCAAAGGAAUUGACGGGGGCCCGCACAAGCGGAGGAACAUGUGGUUUAAUUCGAUGAUACGCGAAGAACCUUACCAAGUCUUGACAUCCUUCUGACCGGUACUUAAUCGUACUUUCUCUUCGGAGCAGGAGUGACAGGUGGUGCAUGGUUGUCGUCAGCUCGUGUCGUGAGAUGUUGGGUUAAGUCCCGCAACGAGCGCAGCCCUUAUCUUUAGUAGCCAGCGGUUCGGCCGGGCACUCUAGAGAGACUGCCAGGGAUAACCUGGAGGAAGGCGGGGAUGACGUCAAAUCAUCAUGCCCCUUAUGACUUGGGCUACACACGUGCUACAAUGGCGUAAACAAAGGGAAGCAAAGCUGUGAAGCCGAGCAAAUCUCAAAAAUAACGUCUCAGUUAGGACUGUAGUCUGCAACCCGACUACACGAAGCUGGAAUCGCUAGUAAUCGCAGAUCAGAAUGCUGCGGUGAAUACGUUCCCGGGUCUUGUACACACCGCCCGUCACACCGUGGGAGUUGGGAAUGCCCGAAGCCAGUGACCUAACCGAAAGGAAGGAGCUGUCGAAGGCAGGCUCGAUAACUGGGGUGAAGUCGUAACAAGGUA